rnacentral:lncRNA from 1 species
GAUAGGACGCCUAUCACAAUCAAACCACACUGACAAAGACCCGAGAAAAUAGAUCCGAACCGGGGGAGUUCAAUCAUGAGCUGACGCGCCACUACCACCAGCCUAAAAACAGAUCAAGGAAAGGAUCUGAAAAACCCUCGUAAGCUUGAAGCCAACCUAAACGCCAACCAUGACCGUUUCCUUCAACUCCUAGACUCAUUGCCACUCCGGGAAAAGCUGCUGUCAAGAGGAUCCGUCACUGGCGUCCCAAAUUUAGGGAUCAAAAAUCGAACAGCCUCGCUAGAGCUUUGAUAUCUUGAAAAGGAGUCGAAGUGACGGAAGAGGCAAGAUGGAAAAAAGGAAGGGGAAGGAGAAACCCUUCCGAUGACGGCGGAAACCACCGAGGUUGGAGAUGGUACAUGCCGACGAGAAAGCUCGAGAGAGUUUUACUGGAAAGAGAAAGAAAAAAGAGAAUUUUUCGCUUCAAUGAUCAUAUUUUUUCACUUCCAUUUUUUUUUUUGAGAAACAUAUACAAGACUUGAGUGAUUCAAUAAAUACGUAAAUUUCAAGUUUUAGGGAAUACUUUUUUUUUUCCAUCUGAUAAUAUUAUUAUAAAAGGACAAAAGUCCAAAUACAAACAAUAACCUAGCGAUAAGGUUGAAACACAAACAUCCAAACGAAAGAAACUAAACUUAAUGGCCCAACACUAGCCCAAACUUCAAACGAAUUCAAGAAAGGCCCAAACCAUAACCUGUGAUGUGCCACUGCUUUGUCACGCCGAAAAAGAAACAUGUUGAAACCUCACAACGAGGCAUGACACGCGUCACAAGAUCCCACACCGAUACCACCAAAGGGAAUCACGCCGGAAACUGAACGGCGCUUCACCGGACCUCGCCGGGAGCAAGCGCUUACCCAAACUCACCACUUCAUCACCUUUGCUUCUUAUCACCGGAGAGCGUCACACGAGAAGUCGAGACCUCAUCCAGAAACAAAGUCACCACCCAGACGAUUGAAAUCCUUCACUCACCCUUCAUACACGCUCAUCUCUUGAUUUCAGAUCAUCGGAUAGCAUCAAUCGAACAAAUCGAGAUCUCAUCCGUCACAUCAAGCCAUCAACUACGAAAUCAAGCCGAGUCACCAGUCAAGAAACCAGAGAAACUAAAGAAACAGAGCCGCCAUCGAACAAGAAGAUCGUACGACGCGGGAAAGGAGCCGGCGAGAAGGAUGCUAAAGGAGUCACCUUCUCCCGGAAACAAAGCCGGCGAAACCUGCUUAAAGAUGCACGGCUUCACAGAGGCAAAACCCAAAGAAAGAUAAUCAAAGAACUGAUAGAGCACCGAUGAAAGCUUCA